AGAUCGCGGGAGCCAAUCAGGAAAGUCGCACAUGACCGAGCCCUCGACGUCUCCGCCACGCCCACUCUUUUGCUGGUCUCGGUGGGAGGGGUUGGCGGAAGCCGAUUUGCGGAAGAGCGUUAACCCACUCUUGCCCGGUGUUUCCUGAUACACACAUCUAACUUCUGCAUUUAUACAGAGGGUGUUUGACCAGCCUGGUCAUCUCAGUGAACUUGUGCCCAGUAGUGCUUUUGUACUUCUGUCCUGAAAUCUAAGCAAAUGACCCGUGUGGGCUUAUUUGAAGAAGGCAAGGCACAAGUGUAGUGGUACCCAGGACCUUCAUCUCUUCUUCCUCCAGUACUGACAGGCAUUAACAUUUACAGUAUAAGGAAAUGUUGUAUAUGAGGACUGUAUUUUAAGAUGCUGCAGAUCAGGAAUGGCCAGGUAUUCAGCUGUCUGGUACCAAUGGAAAAUUAUUUUCUGCAUUUGUAGAGUUGAAGUUUAUGCUGGUAGGAAAAUAUGUAAAUAUAACAAGGCACUUAAUUAAGGAUUCUCAUUAAAUGACCAGCUGCAGAAAGCAACUAUCUGUUUCUGUCAGCACCUACGUAAAAUCCAGGUAAACAUAAAUAAAGGGAGAAUGUGGCUUAUCUGUGCCAGACUGUGAAGAAAAGGCUUCAUAUUCGGGAAACCUACUAUGCAGGUGCAUAAACCCACGGUUCUACUUUAGAAGUUUUGCAGUAAUAAAUCAAGAAAGAAAUA